rnacentral:rRNA from 1 species
AAUAUUGGUCAAUGGGCGAAAGCCUGAUCCAGCCAUGCCGUGUGUGUGAAGAAGGUUCUCGGAUUGUAACGCACUUCACGUUGGGUGGCAGGGCUGUAGAUUAAUACUUUGUAAUGUUGACGUUACUGAUAGAAUAAGCACCGGUUAACUUCGUGCCAGCUGCCGCGGUAAUACGAAGGGUGCAAGCGUUAAUCGGAAUUACUGGGCGUAAAGCGCGCGUAGGUGGUUCGUUAAGUUGGAUGUGAAAGCCCCGGGCUCAACCUGGGAACUGCAUCCAAAACUGGCGAGCUAGAGUACGGUAGAGGGUGGUGGAAUUUCCUGUGUAGCGGUGAAAUGCGUAGGUAUAGGAAGGAACACCAGUGGCGAAGGCGACCACCUGGACUGAUACUGACACUGAGGUGCGAAAGCGUGGGGAGCAAACAGG